UACGUAGGGGGCGAGCGUUGUCCGAAUUCACUGGGCGUAAAGCGCGCGUAGGCGGGUUAUUAAGUUGUGGGUGAAAUGCCGGAGCUCAACUCCGGAACUGCCUGCAAAACUGGUGACCUUGAGGUAUGGAGAGGGAAGUGGAAUUCCAGGUGUAGCGGUGAAAUGCGUAGAUAUCUGGAGGAACACCCGUGGCGAAGGCGGCUUCCUGGCCAUAUCCUGACGCUGAGGUGCGAAAGCCAGGGGAG
rnacentral:rRNA from 1 species